AUUGAACGCUGGCGGCAGGCCUAACACAUGCAAGUCGAACGAGUGGCGGACGGGUGAGUAAUGUCUGGGAAACUGCCUGAUGGAGGGGGAUAACUACUGGAAACGGUAGCUAAUACCGCAUACCAUCGGAUGUGCCCAGAUGGGAUUAGCUAGUUGGUGGGGUAAAGGCUCACCUAGACGACGAUCCCUAGCUGGUCUGAGAGGAUGACCAGCGACACUGGAACUGAGACACGGUGCAGACUCUUACGGGAGGCAGCAGGGGUGAAUAUUGCACAAAGGGCGCAAGCCGAAUGCAACCAUGCCGCGUGUUUGAUGAAGGCCUUCGGGUUGUAAAGUACGUUCAGCGAGGAGGCGUUACCCGCAGAAGAAGCACCGGCUAACUCCGUGCCAGCAGCCGCGGUAUUUC
rnacentral:rRNA from 1 species